rnacentral:rRNA from 1 species
UAGGGAAUCUUCCACAAUGGACGCAAGUCUGAUGGAGCAACGCCGCGUGAGUGAAGAAGGUCUUCGGAUCGUAAAGCUCUGUUGUUGGUGAAGAAGGAUAGAGGCAGUAACUGGUCUUUAUUUGACGGUAAUCAACCAGAAAGUCACGGCUAACUACGUGCCAGCAGCCGCGGUAAUACGUAGGUGGCAAGCGUUGUCCGGAUUUAUUGGGCGUAAAGCGAGCGCAGGCGGAAUGAUAAGUCUGAUGUGAAAGCCCACGGCUCAACCGUGGAACUGCAUCGGAAACUGUCAUUCUUGAGUGCAGAAGAGGAGAGUGGAACUCCAUGUGUAGCGGUGGAAUGCGUAGAUAUAUGGAAGAACACCAGUGGCGAAGGCGGCUCUCUGGUCUGCAACUGACGCUGAGGCUCGAAAAGCAUGGGUAGCGAACAGGAUUAGAUACCCUGGUAGUCCAUGCCGUAAAACGAUGAGCGCUAGGUGUUGGGGACUUU